rnacentral:rRNA from 1 species
UGCCCCUUUGUGGUCGGUGUACAGGUGGUGCAUGGUUGUCGUCAGCUCGUGUCGUGAGAUGUUGGGUUAAGUCCCGCAACGAGCGCAACCCUCGUCCUAUGUUGCCAGCGGGUCAUGCCGGGGACUCAUGGGAGACUGCCGGGGUCAACUCGGAGGAAGGUGGGAUGACGUCAAAUCAUCAUGCCCCUUAUGUCUUGGGCUUCACGCAUGCUACAAUGGCCGGUACAAAGGGCUGCGAUACCGCGAGGUGGAGCGAAUCCCAGAAAGCCGGUCUCAGUUCGGAUUGGGGUCUGCAACUCGACCCCAUGAAGUCGGAGUCGCUAGUAAUCGCAGAUCAGCAACGCUGCGGUGAAUACGUUCCCGGGCCUU